UACGGAGGGGGCUAGCGUUGUUCGGAAUUACUGGGCGUAAAGCGCACGUAGGCGGCUUUGUAAGUUAGAGGUGAAAGCCUGGAGCUCAACUCCAGAAUUGCCUUUAAGACUGCAUCGCUUGAAUCAUGGAGAGGCGGGUGGAAUUCCGAGUGUAGAGGUGAAAUUCGUAGAUAUUCGGAAGAACACCCGUGGCGAAGGCGGCUCUCUGGGACGGUACUG
rnacentral:rRNA from 1 species